rnacentral:tRNA from 1 species
UACGGACUUAAAAUCC